AGGGGAAAGGGCCAAUGGGAGCUCUCUCUGCACUGCAGCAAACUGUAGCCAAUCAGUGGCAGAGGAGCGGGAAAGCAGGGGAGGACAGGGUGAUAAACAACUUUUGGCGGGAAAGUCUGAGGGAGAAAGGGGGAUAACAUGGGGAAAUAAUAAACUUCAUAAAAAUCCAACAGUAAACUGGGGUAUAACAGUCAGUCCGAAAUUGAUAAAUGGAGAAGACUUGUAUUCCAAGUCUCUGUUGAUGUACAUUUAGAUGAAGACUAGAUACACCAUUCUGGCACAAGUGAGACAGGGAGGAGGAGAGGAGCUACUUGAAUUGUACUUGUCGCUGGCAGGAGCACCCAGGAAACAUCUCACCAUGGAUAACAUCACUGUCUGAAACAAGCAAACAUGAAAAAACAUGCCACUGUGGUAUCUGUGGUUCUUAUUUAUGUGGUGAGCUUGGGUACAACGCAAGAAGAGACAAAACACAUGAAAAAAUUCCAGCUUCUGUUUUGAGAAAAACAACAGAUCACAUCCUGAGAACUUGAGAAAAAAGUAAAAAAAUGUAGGAAUAAUGAAAAUACAAUAA